AACGAACGCUGGCGGCGCGCCUAAUACAUGCAAGUCGAGCGAGAAGGUGUAGCAAUACACUUGUAAAGCGGCGAACGGGUGAGGAAUGCAUGGGUAACCUACCCUCGAGUGGGGAAUAACUAGCCGAAAGGUUAGCUAAUACCGCAUACGUUUCCGGAACUUCGGUUUCGGAAAGAAAGCAAUACCGUGGGUAUUGCGCUCCUGGAUGGGCUCAUGUCCUAUCAGCUUGUUGGUGAGGUAACGGCUCACCAAGGCUUCGACGGGUAGCUGGUCUGAGAGGACGAUCAGCCACACUGGCACUGCGACACGGGCCAGACUCCUACGGGAGCAGCAGUAAGGAUAUUGCGCAAUGGACGAAAGUCUGACCGCAGCGACGCCGCGUGGGGGAUGAAGGUCUUCGGAUUGUAAACCCCUUUCGGGAGGGAAGAUGGAGUGGGUAACC
rnacentral:rRNA from 1 species